AUGAUCCUGCUCAUCAAGGUGGAUUUGAAGCUUCACACCCCCAUGUACUAUUUCCUCAGCCACCUGGCAUUCAUCGAUGUUUGUUAUUCAUCUUCCAUUGGGCCCAAGAUGCUGCAAAAUUUAUUGAGAAAAAAACCAUCUCCUUUUCAGGCUGCUUUGCCCAGCUGUACUUCACCAGUGCUUUUGCCACCACCGAAUGCUUCCUCUUGGCCACAAUGGCCUAUGACCGCUACUUGGCUAUCUGCAACCCCCUGAUCUACGCAGCCAUUAUGACUCAGCGGGUCUGCAAGGAGUUGGUGAUAGGGGUCUACACCUACGGCUUCCUAAACUCUGUAAUACAAACAGUUCUGACGUUCCAGUUGUCCUUCUGUGACUCCAACAUCAUUCACCACUUCUACUGUGCUGACCCCCCUCUCCUUGCCCUCUCCUGCUCUGACACUGGCAACAAAGAAAAGCAGCUCUUGAUCUUCUCAGCAGUGACUCUCACUGGAUCCCUCCUGACGGUCCUCAUCUCCUACAUGUGCAUCCUCUUUUCCAUUCUAAAAAUCCAGUCUUCCGAAGGCAAGUGCAAAGCCGUUUCCACCUGUGCCUCCCACCUCACCGUGGUCGUCAUCUUCUAUGGGACGCUCUUUUUCAUGCACCUGCAGCUACCUAAAGCAGGGGAUUCGUGGAAGUACAACAAAGUGGUCUCUGUGUUUUAUAGUCUUGUAAUUCCCCUGCUCAACCCCUUGAUCUAUACCCUGAGGAACACGGAAGUAAAGGACACCCUGAAAAAGAUGCUAGAGGGCAAAAAGCCAUAG